GGUGGAGUGGCCCUUGAGUCUUGGACUUAUCCCUUACAUCCCGGACCUGGAACUGGGGCACCUUUUCCAAGUUGUCCCCCCUGAAAAGCUUCUGCUGCGCUCUGGUGUUGUCCUCGAUGGUCCUAAAAAGGGUUGACGUGCUACUGCCGCCUGCCAACUUUGGGGACCUAAACGCACUGUUCUGGCUGCGCAGAAAGAUGCCCUUGACCGUUUCGGAGGCACUCUUCUUAAUCCCACACACUUCUUCCGGCCGGCGGUCAGCACUGGGUCGGCUGGAGCUGGCAUUGCUUUCCCGGGGAGAGCUCGCUUGAAAAACUGGAGAUUUGUUUUCAGAGACUGGAGUGUCCUCACCAGCAUCUGAGACACUCACCACAGUGUACUCAGAACUGGCCUCUGAGUAAUGGGAGCUCUGUCUUUGCAGACCCUUCUCAGGUGGCUUCUCCCAACCCGAGGGAUCCUCGGGCUCCCUGGAGGAGCCAGAGGUGUUCUUCCUGUGAGAUGUGUCUGAGACUUCCCCUCUCUCCAUUUUGAACUCCUGCUCCCUCUGCAUUUUCUUGGAGAUGACAUUUUUGAGAAGGCUGGAAGCAAAUUUGGACUUCUUCUGUGUUCCUUCGGCCCGAGAGGAAGGCUUGCUGCUUUCUGAGGUCUCCAAGCCAUCAUCUGUGUAAACUGACCCUGGGGCUUUGCUGGGGCCUUUUCUCAAGCCCCCAGCAGCAGAGCUCGCUUUGCUCUCGCUGCGUAAAUUUAGUGUCUCCAAAAGGGUGACAACGCGGGAGCCACUUUGGACCUGUUUCUGAAAGCACAGCGGUGUCUCCACGUGGGUGAUCUCCCCAUCCACUUUGCUGACCACAAACUCCAGGGCCUUGGUCUGGGACUUCUUGGACUGGAUAUAGAGUUGGUCUGCCGAGGGCCUGGCCCCAGUGCCCUUGCGCAAGCCCGCAGCCACAGAGGCCGCACUGUUCUUGAGCAGGCUCUGCUCCACUCUGGCUCCGAGACCCCCGCAUUUUAAGUCCAAGAAGGUGGACCAGCGCCCGAAGCCAACGUCUGAGAGGGCUGUGGAGGAGGCUCUGGAGCUGAUGUUGAGGGCCUCAAAGUAAGGGUAAGCCAGGCUGCGGAAGGCUCGGGAAGUCAGGUUGCGGACCUCCUUAUCUGCAUCGUCCAGUUCGCUGACUGCACUGGACGCGCCGCUGGAGUAAUCCACCAGCUCUUUGGCGCGGAUGGCGCCGCACCUGGUCUGCAGGCGGGCAGGAAGAAGACAAUGAGGCUGGCCCACCCCUGGAUGUGGUCGGGUCAUCCAGGUGGGGAGAGCAGGCUUCCCCUACCUUGUCCGUUGCUGGGGAGGAAGAGGAGGCAGAGGAGAAAGAAGUAAAAGACUUGGAACCCCCGGGGCUGCAGGAGAGCUGGAAGCUGGCAAGUUCCUGGGAGGCCGCAGUGACAGGAGGAGGCAGUGGUGAGAGCUGGAGGUGUCUUGGAUCCUGCUCCGGCUCCCUCUGGGACGAAGAGUUGCCUGGAGAAAGGACCCACGUGCCUGGACUGCCCCCCCAGCUGGGGACGCUGCUGCGGCUGAGAGCUUCAACUUCUUUAGCCCCUGUGGCGGGGCCUGGGCAAACCCAAGGGAGAUAGGAAGGCCCCUGGAUGGGGUGGCGGAGGUGGCUGUAGUGGUCUGUGCUGGGGGGCCUGCUGCUCCUGCCGCGAUAGCUGCCAGGGUCUUGUAGCUGAGCUUUCCCGUACAGUUGUUGGCUUGGCACUGGCUGCAGCUAUGAGACCGAAUGCCAUUGGUAACAGAAGGAGCAGCAUCUGUAGCCCGACCCGGAGACACCCAGAAAUGAAGGGAAAGCAUGUGUUGGUUCUUGUGUAGCCUUGUCGGGUCCUGAAUGGGGUGAGAGAGGUUCACGUCAUUCCAGAAAUAUUUUUAGUGUCCAGUCUCUAGUCAUAUUGAAACCAAACGUCUGGACGGAGCUGAGACUCCAGAGAGAAUUUUAAGAGAGAGAGGGAAAAAGAUAAAAAAGGGUUGGGGGUGGAGGGGAGCCAGAGGUGUGAGAGAGGGGGAUCAUGUGUAUUUUUACCCAAAACAACCAGAGCUUUGUAACCUCUACUUUAGAUAACUGAGGAAAUAGUAAAUUAUUCUUCAACUUCCUCAUCUCUUUCAUCUCUCAAGGUUCCAAAUUAAUGGGACUUUACCCUUUGCAUCUCUUUAAAGCCACAUUCUUCAUCACAGAAAUUCUGGAAAGGGUUCAAGAUUCCCCUGAGAAGUGGUCUAACUUUCUCUUGGAAAGUCAUCCAGUUCCUCUUAGGAGCAGCUGAAGGGGUUGGGUUCUGGCAAGAAAGUUAAUAGAAGAAAAGAGCCUCUUCCACAAGCCCCCAAGUUACCCUCCCUAGACCUCACCCCUCAAUUCCCAAUUUUUUUGGAAAUCUCAUCUAGAAUGUUUAUAGAGCCAACAAAAAGGACAAAGGUGAAUUCUUCAGAGCCAGCUAGUGAAGUUUUGUCAAACUUUUCAAAUAUGGUUGCUAAGGUGGAGGAAUUGGAAGGGUCUGAAGGUAGAAACUGGACGCUCCACCACCAUUCCCCCAACAAAGGUUUUGAAAGGUCUCUGGAUUUGUGAAACCACAGCCAGACAAUAAGCCCUUAAUUAAAUAUAGCCUCAGCAGCAGUCCCCUGAUUAGAUUACACUGGCCCUACUCCAGGGCUGCAGGGCACUGAGUCAAAAGACACUAACAAACAACGAAGAAGUUUACCCUUCAUCAGUACCAUGCAGCUUGGAGGGAGGUUCAAAGAGGAAACACAACCCAGUGGCAGAAGUGGAGCCCAAAUCCCAGCUCACUGGCUUUGAGGUUCAUCCAUUCGGUCUAUCCAGUGGUCUGGGAAGGAGUAUGGUUCCCCCGGAGAUUUGGGCUCUUUGCUGGUGACCCCUGAAGCAGCUCCCCAGGUUGUGAUCUGGGAACUGCCACAGCUCUCCGAUUUUGUUGAGAUCAAGUCCGCUUCAUCUGCCAGGCCCUUACUUCCCCACUAUACAUAGGCUAUGUGUCACUUAUGCCGAUGGAAUAAAGCCCUAUUUUAAACAUCUCCAUUUGUGGGAAGCAAAAAUAACAUCAUUGACCAUUCCCUUGAAACAAGAAUGUCACCCCCACACGCAAAAAUGUUCUUCCCUCUGGAUCCAGGCGUGGGCAGACAGGCGUGGGCUGCUUAAUGCCACCUGAAGGAUAUACCUUCCAAAGUAGGUGUCUAAAAGAACAACCUUAAUGGUCUCUCCCACGCUGGCUCAUUGCCAAAAGCAUAAUGAGAGAUCAAGAGAAUAAAAAAUCCGAGUGUGAUAGAAAGCUUUUACAGAUGCUUCUACCAAAUCCUUUUUUCCAUUUUCAGCCUCUUGAGUACAGACGUUAAUAAUUAUUGAUGUAUAUAUAGUCUCCUACCAGAGCUGUGCCUAGACUGCAAAGACCCAGACUGUCUCAGGGUACGGGAAUUUAGAAGAAGCAAAAUAAAAUAGUGAUUUUUAAAUGGAACAAAUAAAAAAAUUAUUACAGAUA